AUCCAGCUGAUGAGUUGCAAAUAGGACGAAAUGUGCAUCCUGAAU
rfam:Schistosoma curassoni strain Dakar, Senegal genome assembly, scaffold: SCTD_scaffold0019921